rnacentral:misc_RNA from 1 species
UGGGGGUUGUGGUUUGUGGAGUUGUAAUAGUCUAAUUAUCUGAACAAAAUUUGGGGUAGUUUGCUACUUGUUCUUGUAAAUUGGAUCUGAUUAGUGCCUCAUCUACAUGGACAAAUUUUGAGAAAAUUGUUUUGGCAAGCAGUAUAAUUUUUGUUAGGCAACAAUGAGGCGACAAUUUCAAUGGUGCUUGAAGUUGAUUCAACACCCUUUUGACAGCAGUGUGGAAAUUGAUCUAAAUAUUUGAAUGAUGCUGUCCAUUGAGUCACAGUGUGGAAAUUUUGGUUUUAGACAUUGUUUAAUGGUGUGCAAAUGGUGUUGCCUCUGAAAUACAUACAGUUGAAAUCUAAUGAUGUUAUCACUUGAAUAGACCUACUGCCAAUUAGCUAAGUGCACUAACAACUCACAAACAGCAGUAUGAGAUAAAAACAAGUAAACCUAAUUCAGACUUUAGAAGACUAAACAAGAGGCAUUAAAAUCAACUGAGAUGAAGAAAAAACACCUCAAUGAGAUUGGAACCUCUAAGAGACACCACUUGCAUGAUGCUUUGGCCAUGUUCAAGCGUUAAGUUAUAUUCCUCUGUUGCCCUCUUCAGAUUCUUCCUUCCGCCUUUCAUUAUCUCCGUCUUCCCCCAAUUAUAUAUAGUAAUAUAUUCUUAAA